GGGUUGUGAGGUUAAGCGACUAAGCGUACACGGUGGAUGCCCUGGCAGUCAGAGGCGAUGAAGGACGUGCUAAUCUGCGAUAAGCGCCGGUAAGGUGAUAUGAACCGUUAUAACCGGCGAUUUCCGAAUGGGGAAACCCAGUGUGACUCGUCACACUAUCAUUAACUGAAUCCAUAGGUUAAUGAGGCGAACCGGGGGAACUGAAACAUCUAAGUACCCCGAGGAAAAGAAAUCAACCGAGAUUCCCCCAGUAGCGGCGAGCGAACGGGGAGGAGCCCAGAGCCUGAAUCAGCAUGUGUGUUAGUGGAAGCGUCUGGAAAGGCGCGCGAUACAGGGUGACAGCCCCGUACACAAAAGCGCAUGUGCUGUGAGCUCGAUGAGUAGGGCGGGACACGUGGUAUCCUGUCUGAAUAUGGGGGGACCAUCCUCCAAGGCUAAAUACUCCUGACUGACCGAUAGUGAACCAGUACCGUGAGGGAAAGGCGAAAAGAACCCCGGCGAGGGGAGUGAAAAAGAACCUGAAACCGUGUACGUACAAGCAGUGGGAGCACCCUUUGGGGUGUGACUGCGUACCUUUUGUAUAAUGGGUCAGCGACUUAUAUUCUGUAGCAAGGUUAACCGUAUAGGGGAGCCGUAGGGAAACCGAGUCUUAACCGGGCGUUAAGUUGCAGGGUAUAGACCCGAAACCCGGUGAUCUAGCCAUGGGCAGGUUGAAGGUUGGGUAACACUAACUGGAGGACCGAACCGACUAAUGUUGAAAAAUUAGCGGAUGACCUGUGGCUGGGGGUGAAAGGCCAAUCAAACCGGGAGAUAGCUGGUUCUCCCCGAAAGCUAUUUAGGUAGCGCCUCGUGAAUUCAUCUCCGGGGGUAGAGCACUGUUUCGGCUAGGGGGCCAUCCCGGCUUACCAACCCGAUGCAAACUGCGAAUACCGGAGAAUGUUAUCACGGGAGACACACGGCGGGUGCUAACGUCCGUCGUGAAGAGGGAAACAACCCAGACCGCCAGCUAAGGUCCCAAAGUCAUGGUUAAGUGGGAAACGAUGUGGGAAGGCCCAGACAGCCAGGAUGUUGGCUUAGAAGCAGCCAUCAUUUAAAGAAAGCGUAAUAGCUCACUGGUCGAGUCGGCCUGCGCGGAAGAUGUAACGGGGCUAAACCAUGCACCGAAGCUGCGGCAGCGAACGUAUCACCCAAGACAACUUUACGGAGUUGACGAUUGACGGAGCGAAGCGACGUCAAAGCGUUCAUUAAAGUCGAGUUGGCUUAGGGAUACGUUCGUUGGGUAGGGGAGCGUUCUGUAAGCCUGUGAAGGUGUGUCGUGAGGCAUGCUGGAGGUAUCAGAAGUGCGAAUGCUGACAUAAGUAACGAUAAAGCGGGUGAAAAGCCCGCUCGCCGGAAGACCAAGGGUUCCUGUCCAACGUUAAUCGGGGCAGGGUGAGUCGACCCCUAAGGCGAGGCCGAAAGGCGUAGUCGAUGGGAAACGGGUUAAUAUUCCCGUACUUGGUGUUACUGCGAAGGGGGGACGGAGAAGGCUAUGUUGGCCGGGCGACGGUUGUCCCGGUUUAAGCGUGUAGGUGUGUGUUCCAGGUAAAUCCGGUUCACUUUAACACUGAGGCGUGACGACGAGGCACUACGGUGCUGAAGCAACAAAUGCCCUGCUUCCAGGAAAAGCCUCUAAGCAUCAGGUAACAUCAAAUCGUACCCCAAACCGACACAGGUGGUCAGGUAGAGAAUACCAAGGCGCUUGAGAGAACUCGGGUGAAGGAACUAGGCAAAAUGGUGCCGUAACUUCGGGAGAAGGCACGCUGACACGUAGGUGAAGUGAUUUACUCAUGGAGCUGAAGUCAGUCGAAGAUACCAGCUGGCUGCAACUGUUUAUUAAAAACACAGCACUGUGCAAACACGAAAGUGGACGUAUACGGUGUGACGCCUGCCCGGUGCCGGAAGGUUAAUUGAUGGGGUCAGCGCAAGCGAAGCUCCUGAUCGAAGCCCCGGUAAACGGCGGCCGUAACUAUAACGGUCCUAAGGUAGCGAAAUUCCUUGUCGGGUAAGUUCCGACCUGCACGAAUGGCGUAAUGAUGGCCAGGCUGUCUCCACCCGAGACUCAGUGAAAUUGAACUCGCUGUGAAGAUGCAGUGUACCCGCGGCAAGACGGAAAGACCCCGUGAACCUUUACUAUAGCUUGACACUGAACAUUGAGCCUUGAUGUGUAGGAUAGGUGGGAGGCUUUGAAGUGUGGACGCCAGUCUGCAUGGAGCCGACCUUGAAAUACCACCCUUUAAUGUUUGAUGUUCUAACGUGGACCCGUUACCCGGGUUGCGGACAGUGUCUGGUGGGUAGUUUGACUGGGGCGGUCUCCUCCUAAAGAGUAACGGAGGAGCACGAAGGUUGGCUAAUCCUGGUCGGACAUCAGGAGGUUAGUGCAAUGGCAUAAGCCAGCUUGACUGCGAGCGUGACGGCGCGAGCAGGUGCGAAAGCAGGUCAUAGUGAUCCGGUGGUUCUGAAUGGAAGGGCCAUCGCUCAACGGAUAAAAGGUACUCCGGGGAUAACAGGCUGAUACCGCCCAAGAGUUCAUAUCGACGGCGGUGUUUGGCACCUCGAUGUCGGCUCAUCACAUCCUGGGGCUGAAGUAGGUCCCAAGGGUAUGGCUGUUCGCCAUUUAAAGUGGUACGCGAGCUGGGUUUAGAACGUCGUGAGACAGUUCGGUCCCUAUCUGCCGUGGGCGCUGGAGAACUGAGGGGGGCUGCUCCUAGUACGAGAGGACCGGAGUGGACGCAUCACUGGUGUUCGGGUUGUCAUGCCAAUGGCACUGCCCGGUAGCUAAAUGCGGAAGAGAUAAGUGCUGAAAGCAUCUAAGCACGAAACUUGCCCCGAGAUGAGUUCUCCCUGAGACUUAGAGUCUCCUGAAGGAACGUUGAAGACGACGACGUUGAUAGGCCGGGUGUGUAAGCGCAGCGAUGCGUUGAGCUAACCGGUACUAAUGAACCGUGAGGCUUAACCUUACAACGCCGAAG
rnacentral:rRNA from 4 species